AUUGAACGCUGGCGGCAGGCCUAACACAUGCAAGUCGAGCGGAUGAAGGGAGCUUGCUCCUGGAUUCAGCGGCGGACGGGUGAGUAAUGCCUAGGAAUCUGCCUGGUAGUGGGGGAUAACGUCCGGAAACGGGCGCUAAUACCGCAUACGUCCUGAGGGAGAAAGUGGGGGACCUUCGGACCUAAGGCUAUCAGAGGAGCCUAGGUCGGAUUAGCUAGUUGGUGGGGUAAAGGCCUCCCAAGGCGACGAUCCGUAACUGGUCUGAGAGGAUGAUCAGUCACACUGGAACUGAGACACGGUCCAGACUCCUACGGGAGGCAGCAGUGGGGAAUAUUGGACAAUGGGCGAAAGCCUGAUCCAGCCAUGCCGCGUGUGUGAAGAAGGUCUUCGGAUUGUAAAGCACUUUAAGUUGGGAGGAAGGGCAGUAAGUUAAUACCUUGCUGUUUUGACGUUACCAACAGAAUAAGCACCGGCUAACUUCGUG
rnacentral:rRNA from 1 species